CUGAAUGUACUCUGAGAAUAAGGAUCGGCUAACUCCGUGCCAGCAGCCGCGGUAAUACGGAGGAUCCGAGCGUUAUCCGGAUUUAUUGGGUUUAAAGGGUGCGUAGGCGGCCUGUUAAGUCAGGGGUGAAAGACGGUAGCUUAACUAUCGCAGUGCCUUUGAUACUGAUGGGCUUGAAUGGACUAGAGGUAGGCGGAAUGUGACAAGUAGCGGUGAAAUGCAUAGAUAUGUCACAGAACACCAAUUGCGAAGGCAGCUUACUAUGGUUUAAUUGACGCUGAGGCACGAAAGCGUGGGGAUCAAACAGGAUUAGAUACCCUGGUAGUCCACGCCCUAAACGAUGAACACUCGAUGUUAGCGAUAUACAGUUAGCGUCUAAGCGAAAGCGUUAAGUGUUCCACCUGGGGAGUACGCCCGCAAGGGUGAAACUCAAAGGAAUUGACGG
rnacentral:rRNA from 1 species